UGAGCAAUCUGCCCUUCUCAUCGGAAUAACCAUUGGAAACGAUGGCUAAUACCGAAUAUGACUUCGGAUCGCAUGAUCUGAAGUGGAAAGCUCCGGCGGUCAAGGAUGGGCUCGCGGCCUAUCAGCUUGUUGGUGGGGUGACGGCCCACCAAGGCGACGACGGGUAGCCGGCCUGAGAGGGCGACCGGCCACACUGGGACUGAGACACGGCCCAGACUCCUACGGGGGNAG
rnacentral:rRNA from 1 species